AUUGAACGCUGGCGGAAUGCUUUACACAUGCAAGUCGAACGGCAGCACGGACUUCGGUCUGGUGGCGAGUGGCGAACGGGUGAGUAAUACAUCGGAACGUGCCCAGUCGUGGGGGAUAACGUAGCGAAAGCUACGCUAAUACCGCAUACGAUCUACGGAUGAAAGCGGGGGAUCGCAAGACCUCGCGCGAUUGGAGCGGCCGAUGGCAGAUUAGGUAGUUGGUAGGGUAAAGGCCUACCAAGCCGACGAUCUGUAGCUGGUCUGAGAGGAUGAUCAGCCACACUGGGACUGAGACACGGCCCAGACUCCUACGGGAGGCAGCAGUGGGGAAUUUUGGACAAUGGACGCAAGUCUGAUCCAGCCAUUCCGCGUGCAGGAUGAAGGCCCUCGGGUUGUAAACUGCUUUUGUACAGAACGAAAAGGCUCUGGUUAAUACCUGGGGCUCAUGACGGUACUGUAAGAAUAAGCACCGGCUAACUACGUGCCAGCAGCCGCAGUAA
rnacentral:rRNA from 1 species